GAACCUCACUCAAAAUCUGUGCCUGUAGCUCCCAGAAGCCCUGCUUCCUGCACUGGGCAGCAGGUAGAAGAGGCCCAGAGGAACUGCUCACAUGAAUUUCUAAUCUAGGUCCUCUUAUUCCUGGAGUGUUUGUGCAUGUAGUUUACCCAGAAUAUUUUGCCUUGUUUUACACUUUAUAGUGCUGUGGAUUGAAGAGACAGAGCAGACAACAGACUGGCAAGGGAUACACGUGGGAUUCUCCCCUGGGAAAAGAGAAUAACGGAAAAGAGAAAAUUUAUCUGAAAAAGGACUCAGGAGUUUAUCUGGACCACUCCCUUAUCUCCAGGGAGGACUCACUUCUACUUCAGAUCUGAUACAGCUAUGAAAAGAGAAGAAAUCAAUGUGGCCAAUUGCAUGUGCUGCCAGCAUCAUCUCACAGGAGUACCCUACUGCAGCAAUGUCUUCUGUGCUGUCAUCUUCCAUACCUCCACACUGAGAUGGAAAUGAUUGCCAAUAUACGAGAGAAAAGCCAUACACAGCUUUGUGAAACAGAAAGAGAUGGAAGAGAAGGAGUCACUGCACUUUUGUACCCAGGAAUGACCUUUGGGAGUACAACUCCUUUUCACCGCACAGAGCAGAUUUGGGACAAAGAGGAAAGAGAAAGCUGCUGGAUGCAUCCUCUUCUACCUAGCGUGGUGUUAUACAGUCCAUGACCUUCAGCUUUCAUGAACAGGUCUAGUUCCUGUGCAGUCAACACACUGUCCUUCUAUGAAAUGUAUUCUCAAUUUCUCUGAUGCUAUAGACACAUGACUUAAAACAGUUGUUAACUGGUUUGUUGCCAUUAAACUUGCUGUGAAGGAUACCUCCUAACAGAAAGGAUGAGCACCAACAACACGUCCUCUGUAAAGCAAAGUAAGACUGACAAGAAACAAGUCCUCUUCAAACUGGGACAAGAGCCACCCCGAUGGCCUGGAGACAAGACCCCAAAGACAAGAUGCUGGGUUCCAACAUUUGAAUUUGUCAAACAGCUUCUCCAUUUUGGAUAGUCUGAACAAUAAACAAAACAAAUUGCCUAUCCCAAAACAACCCAUCUAAUGCACACAUAUGCAAAAAAUAUCAGUCUCUCAGGGCUCUAUUUCCAAAGACAGAGCAAAACAUCAAGUUUUCAAAUAGAACAUGCUUUGCAUCAUAAUGCUCAUAUGCAGAACAGCUCUUGCACAGCAUCAUGGAAACUUCUAAACUGAGCCUUCUCUAUACACAUUUGCACAGGGCAACUGUCAUUGGAAACAUCAGCAAUUUGAAAAAAAAAUCUGCAUGCUCCUAGGCAGAGGUGUUUGUUCCUGUGCUGAGUAUCUUCUCACCUAAAAAUCUCACACUUCUUGUGGAGUAUUAAUAUCUUCUAUUCCAAUCCUUCUAAGGUUAACUUACUUGUCCUUUUGAUCUCUGAGUUAAGCCUCCUGAGCAUUUAUCUGACUACACCCAAGAGCAAGUUCUAUAUAAAAUCUGUGUUGUACUUGGAAAUACAAAACACAUUACAUUCUGGGAAAGUAAAGGCUCCUCAAGAAGAACCUGUCUUGGUCAUGGCAGUAACCAUAAGAAAUUCCCAGUUCCAAACACCCUCCAUUACUUUAGUGAUUGACUAAACAAAGUCCUUGAAUCUUUUUUUUUUCUUCUUCCCUGUGUUCCACUUUGCAGACAGAAGGACAGAGAUAGCUCUGAUUUCUUUCUCUGUGCAAUAGAGGCAAUGUGAUGUCUGUUGUAACAACGGGUUGAACAUCCCAGUUUGUCCUCGUGUCCUCUUCAUUCUGUCUCUCUGUAGCUGCUACAGGGUUCAUGUACAAACAAGGGUUAGCGGUAGAAGCAAUGGUAUCGCCCAGGGAAUAGUUCCUGCACAGGGACAUUUAUCUUGUUGCUCCAUUUUUAGCAGAACAGAGAUCUUACUUCUCUUUGCUGCACUCCCAGUGUACACGUUCAGUACAGAGACAGUCAGCCUUUGUCCAAAAAGCUCUUUAACUGGAAAGGAUGGUUUAACAUGACCACUCCUCUACCUCUGCAUGUACAUAGCAAGAAUAUCUAGAGUCCUAGUAGCUAAUUAAAGGAGUUUGAGAAAGAAAGCUUUGCUUAAAAUUUCAAGUCUCUAUUACAAGCUAGUAUUGUGCUGUUUGCUAGGUCUGUUGAGAGGUCACACCACCUCUCAUAUGCCUGGUACAAGCGCUGAGGCACCCAGGAUGCUGUCGUGUGAGAUGUGAGGGUAGAGUAAAAAAAGCCUUCUCCAUCCUGACAAUUCUCAGUUUUCUGUACUUCUCCUGAAAGAAGGAUUUACAAGUUUGGAGCUUGGCGGAACAGAAAAAAAGAGUUCCAUAAGAAUGAGUCAAGGCCCUCACCUUAAUUUCUCACAUAUUCUAAAUUAAUUUUCUUCUGACCUCAGCCUACAACCAGUCUUUUCUGUUAUGAAAGAAUGAGCCAAAUUUGUCGACUUUAUUCUUUCAAAGAGACAGCCAAGAAGAAUAAAUGCAGAUUAAUCUACUUUGGCCAAAUUAAAGGAAAUUGUAGCUCACAGCAGAGGAAUUCCCUUUGUUUGUUUGACAACACAAGGGAAUUACUGCAGUGCUGUCUCCUGUCACCACUGACAGGCUGUCUGAUAUGUUUCUGUUGCUAGAGUUCCAAAACGCAUGUUACUGUCAGAUUCAAGGGAAGGCCAUUUCCCCAGGGAGUUAGGCUAGGAGCCCUCUCUCACUGGGAGCUGUAAGUGAUGCUUGCUGGUUGAUGAAUCUGUAAUCAACAUGUAAUCAAGCCACCUCAGGACGGGAAAACUCUCAAAUACAAGUCACAUUCAGCAGGGAAAUGGCAGGAGCAGGCAGGUUUUGAGAUAGACCAUCUGCAGGUUAACAAGGGACCACAGUGAAAACAACAGAGCUGUAUUCAGUGAGUGAGUCACUGCCUGAGACACCUGGCUGAGAGACUGUUCUGUGACUGUGCUGUCAGGAGAGGGAAUGCUGGCUCAGUGCAGCAGCCUGCAAGUGUAAACACCUAUAUUUGCCUCCUCUAUACCCUCACCAAGUUGCUACCUCCUGUCUGCUGCUCACAAUACCUCCCUACCACCCUUCAAAUAAGAAGACUUUCUCAUUUUUUAUCCUAAAUCCUAGAUGAUAAUUUUUUUAAAUAGAGGAAGCAAUCUUUAUCAAGUACCUUCCUUCAUUAUUUACAUGCAAAAUCCCACCAGCAACCUGCACAGUCAGGUUCAAAGCAAAACAAAGGUAACAGAAACAAACAUAAGCCUUUGUGAAAAAUCCUUUGACUAAGGCAGUUUUGCAAAUGGUUACAUAUAUCCAAACACUGAAGCACAACUACUCUGGUCCAGUUUAUGGAAACAGCUGCCUUUAUUGUAAGUAGACAAGCAGUGCUAGAACAAACAU